ensembl:lncRNA
GUUGUGGGGCUCAUUUAUAUAUGACUUUCAGAAGGCAACUUGCAGCUCAGCUCUGCCAAAGACUCUGUGGUUUCAUAAGACAUUAUUCUAAAGAUCUUCCUCCUCUCUCUCAACAUGAGGCAAACCAUCAUGAAACAGGAAAGGAGAAGAAGGAGGGGAGAAAAUGAGCUGCCUCAGUAAUAUACCUCCUCUGACAAAGCUGAAAGUGCCUGGCUAUUUCUCAGCAAAUGAAAAAAAGUCUAAAGGAAUGAGGACUUGUGUGGCCUCCCCCAACCAAAAAAAUAAAAAAAGAGGAAAUUAGACUGUAAACUAUUCCUGAGGUGGAAGAAACACCAACAUGAAUUCUUGACAGAAAAAAAAAGUCCUUGUGCUGCUCCUCUGCCCCAUUUUGCAACUGUGCUAUCCUGGCAAAGACUUUUGGAUUAAAUCUACAGAUUACACUGGACCUGACUUCACUCAGAGACUGAAAUACGUGCCGCUCUCUUGAUGAGCAGAUACAUUACAUUCAAUCUAUCUAGCAGUUUUUGUCCUGCACAAGCCAAAUCUCCUUUCAACAUCAAUAUUAUUUAUUAGCUCAUGAGCUUUCCUCAUCACCAGGAGAUCUGAGAGCCUCUACAGACACUAGUGAGCCUAUUCUCAUACUGGGUGAGAGAGUGCUGGGGAAGUCAGAAGGAACCUGAAAUUUCAUGGAUGCCCAGUAACAGAUGUCUAGAACCUGUAUUCAAAGUAUGUCCAUACGAAAUGUUUAGUAAAGGUGAUUUACUCAGCAUCACUUAUCCCACUGUACAAAGAACACUGUCAUUUUAUGUGAUGAAAGUACUUAUUUACAAUGCUCUCCAGACAUACUCACAGUUCAUUAGAAGUCUAAUUGGAGGUAGGGGUCUUCUGUUUUAUCCCAUCUUUGGAAAGGCACUUGGAUAAAAAUGAGCUAAGAAAACAUGCAUGAGCUUUACAAAACAAAGUAACAAGGAACUGAUUUUAAUUACAUAUAGUACCCUUGAUUUUCUUAUUUAUGCAUCUCAAGCCACUACUCCUCCCCAUUAUUACAUUUCCAGGUCUCAAUGUUUUCAUUCAAAGUUUUGAGUGCUUCUGAAAACUCAGACCAGCCCCCACCUCCCCAGCUUUAGUGAUGCUGGGGAGCACAGACAUGUGGUGUGGUGCCACCUCAGCUGUGAAUAGUUAACACUGUUAUAGUUCAAAACUUCAGCCAGGAAUGCUACCUGUGAGGGCAGAGUGCCUUGGGACAGAAAGUCCUUGGCAGGAGCUAAACCGUAAUGAGCUUAAAAUGUACUGAGGAGUUCGGCAAAUACAAAGCCAGGUCACAGAAUAGGUAGCUGCAGAAAUUUUCCUAUGUGUAAUGUUUAUAAGACAAUUAUUUACAUUAUCUGGAUGGUUUUAAUUGCAGGACAGUUCAGACCAGUUUCUUUAAGUUUUCCCAAGGGGUAAUUAGUCACCCUGUGAAUUUGCAUAUUUUCCAUUGCUCUAUCGAAGCAAAUCAGCUAUACUUAUUGGAAGAUUGACCUGGCAACCUCUGUUCUUAGCAGAUUAUAGUCUGAGUUUCAUCAUGACGUCAGCUAGUAUAUUAGCAAAUGUUCUGGUCUGUACUUCUAGAGCAAGUAAACUUUGGGCUCUUCAUUUAAAAUGUGAGAAAUUUUGAGACAUGGUAAAAAGGGGUAUCUUAUUCAUAGGGGAAAGUAGCAAUGAACUACUGCCCUACAGAUGUUCACAUGUUCACUCUAUCAUCUCCUAAAACACAGUUUGCACAAGGGAAUAAGAUAGAGUGCUAGCCUGGAGCAAAAGUCACUUCUCCAUACCAGUUCUGCAGGAUUCUACAUACCAGGUUCAGCUGAUCCUGCUGGAAUUCCUUGCUGAGCCAAAUUUUGGCUCCUACAGACCAUCUGUGCACUGCAAAGACCCUGGCUCCUUGCCUGUCUGCUACAUUGCCUCCCAAAGUACUCACAAACCAUGCAGCAGUAAGUUCCAAAUUAGUUCAUAUACGUACCAAUAAAUUCAUCUGUACAAGUUAUGCCUUGUUUUUUAAAAUAUUAUCCAAACUAAAUUUAUAUCCAAGCAAUAAUACACAAGAAGUAGCUUGCAGAUCUUUGGGGUUAAAAUGGGAAUGAAUGACCUUGAGAAGACGUUCUUUGGAGGGAGAGAGGCAAUCCAGUAGUGGAACUUAAUCUGAAUCACAUUAAUUCAAUACUACAGGUGAACAACCUUUAGUGUAACAACAGCCUGACAACAAAAGCUAGAUAUUUACACCGAUGCUCUAAUUGUUAGUCUAUUUCUUUAGAUUUGCAUCAUGUACCCAGUUUUCAAACAGGAGAACAAUUGUUUACUGUAGGUGUCCUUUUAUGAAUCAUCAACAGUGAGUGAAGAUGUACUCUUACUGCAAUCAUUUAAUAAUUAAUUAGUAAUAGGGACAUACAUGUUUAAGUGUUUUGCAUGUCGUACCUUCUGUUCUUGUUUAACAGAGACAUUUCACAGCUUGUGAAUGCUGUGCAGAUAAUAUUUUCUUCUCUUUAAAAUAAAGGAAUAAG